UAGAUAGGGAUUCUCAAUAUACUCCUACUGGCAUCACGUUCGUGAGCUACUGUAAUGCGCACUCCUGAGUCCCGACCUUAAGAUGAAUUACUUAUGUCCUGUAUUCAAUUCCAUGUCGUUUGUGUCCGUCCUGUAAACAAGCGUGUAGGCCUCGUGCGCUUUAGGAAAUCCUUUCCUCUGAAGUUUAGCAGGCCAAGAUGAAGUGCAUGUCUCGUGAGUUUUGGUGACAUUCAACCUGUACUUCUGAAUUUAGUCCAUCUUAUCUCCGUGACGUGAAAAUAAACGAAGUAACGUCAUUGCAGCAUUGUUUUCUGACCCAUUGAUCCCCAGAGGGUGGCCCAGGGACAGUAAGGCGUGUGUGUUCUUCGGACACAGGAGAGAGCUUCCACCGCCGCACUCAGCCCAGUGGAGGACACCAAGGCCAGAGUGAGAGAAGGAGAGAGAAGGGACAUAGAGCCAGGUUGCUAAAAAAGAAACUCCUCAGGGUUGUUGGAGAGUUGAUCUGGUUUCUACUGGGAAAAGGUUCUAGAGACCACUAAGAUGUUUUUCCGCAUCCCUCGACUGACCCCUGGAUACAUCAGAUACUUGCAGACUCAAGCUGCCCAGACCGUGCUGCAGAGCCGGGAAGGCCCCAUGAUGUCGAGGGUGGCCAUGCUGCUAGGGCUGAUGGGAGUUGGGAUGUCUGGGUACAGCUCACGACAGCUCACCCUGCACUGCAAGCCCUCCGCUAACCUGCUGAGAUGAGGCAAGACACAACACCUCUGACCUUCCACCCUGAAGACGACAACAUGGAUAAGAUUGAUCACUGGAGCAUAUCCAAUACCCCUGGAUUCCACUUACACUACAAGAAUAAUUAGUCUCUGUUUCCUAAAACGGUUUUGUUUUAGUUGAGUUUUUGUUUGUUACCCUUGCACCUUUGAUUUCCCCCAUUGUGGUUGAAGUUUGGGACGAACCAAGUUCAGAUUCUUAUUCUGAAAAGUUUAACAUUGAAGAUCGAUACUUUAAGGUUCCACACGCGCAGUUAUGACCAUAUAAGAUUAUCCCUCCAUUUAAAAAAAUCAAUAUUCUUUUAAACUACCUCUCCCUUUCAAACCAGUUAAAGUGUUAUUCACCCAACAUACAUCAAUCCAUUCUUAUUGAGCUCUGUUCUUGAGCUGGUAACAUCCUCAACUUUAACCACCCAUUUUCUUUUUGUAAUUCUGUGCCUUAAAGGGAGCGAUCCAUUAAAAUCAGUUUAAGACACCAAAUGGUGUUACCUCACGCUAACCCAAGAAGACCAAAACCCAAGAAAUAAAGACAUCGCAAUGGAGAAAUAUUAAAUAUGUCAAAUAUUUUUCAAAACCUGACGAAAUUCCCCAGUCCGCCUGUUUAUUGCCAUUCUCUUGUCUGUGUUUGGCAAGGCAUGUACACAGAGAUUAGCACCUCUGUUUUAGGCUUAUCCAGUGUUUUCCUGAAUAAUGUCACGAGUGGCAGGAAAGGAGAGCGAAAUCAAAAUGGUAGCAUCUUGGAACUCAGAGAAUCCAGUUGGUCAUAGGGAUUAUAAAAAUGUUUUUUUGUCUGUUAUCAUCAAUGCUCUUGAUUCUGGAGACAAGAUUCCUUCAUUUGGUACUUGCUUUACUUUCUUUGUCUGCUAUGUUUGCAUGCAAAGAAAUACAGGAAAAAUCCUUUGACCAAGAUUCAAAAUGUACUCAACCAACAUGCUUCCAAUUGUAUUUUCUAAUGUCUUUUUUUAUUUGGUCACGCCCAACUUUUUUCCAUUGAACCUUUUUGAUUUUGCACAGUGAAAAGAUUGAUAUUUUUACAUACAUUCUUUUCACCAAAACACUCUGACACUUUGCACUUUUUUAAUAAUGUAUGUGUGUGUACAUAAUAUGUACAUAAUGUACAUAUCUGAAUUAUUGAAGCUUGAAGAGAUUAGUAGAUGGUUAAGUGACAUGGAAAGUGACGCCAGAUUGGUUUGAGAACUAGUCUGGGUGGAAUCCAGCUGGAUUCACACACGGCACCACAGUUUGGUAUCAGGCAUCCAGGACAGCCACCCUGGAUGGACCUCACUGGACGAAUGCCACCGUAUGUGUGAAUUCACCGAGAUUCCUCCAAGUUGUCCUCCAUGUUUGUCAGAAUUGGGAUGUUUAGAUUAAUGGCCAUAUGGUCUCUUAACAUAGCUAGCAUGAAAUACUAUUUAUAUUUCCUUUAGAUUCAGAACAUGCAGUACACACUUUGUAAUAAGGGAAAUAACUUUAACACGACAGCAUAGGAAUGUAUCACCGACACAAUGAAUGUUUCUUAGUGGUAUACUGUAAUUGUAAACAUGAACGUACUGUAGGUUACUGUGUCAUAACCAUGGGAUCCCACUAGUCUGGUUUAGAGGAAACAGUGGAUGUAACCAGACCUUAGAUUUACACUGGAUUCUCCAAUAGAACAGAUUACCAUGCCAUUGGUAGUUGUCCAGUGAUCCAGUGGUCUUCCGGUGAUCCAGUAGUCUUCUGGUGAUCCAGUAGUCUUCCGGUGAUCCAGUACUCUUUCGGUGAUCCAGUGGUCUUCCGGUGAUACAGUGGUCUUCCAGUGAUCCAGUGGUCUUCCGGUGAUCCAGUGGUCUUCCAGUGAUCCAAUUAGGAGAAGUGUCUCUUUUAUGUCCAGCUUCACCAGUAUAAAGGGUUAGUGACCCUAAAUAGUGACCCUAAAUAGUGACCCUAAAUAGAGACCCUGCUAUAGAGACCCAGACCAGUGAGAGGAACAUAGUAGGAGUUCUGAAACCCCUAGUUUAUCUUAGUCAAUGUAAUGUUACAUGAACUUGGUGAAGAACUGACAAGAAUUCAAUUCGGAACAUGAUUGAUAUUGAAAGCUGCAAUGGGGGAGUGAUGUUAUCUCUAUACACAGUGUAAAGGGUCAUUGCUGUUUAAUAGUUAUAGUACACUACAGUGCUGUUUGUUUUACACGGGUACAUUUCAUACCAAAAGGCUUACAAUAGGCCUAUCUUUGUAUUGUUGCUAAAUGUAACAAUGUUGUUUAGGAAUGCCAUAGUGAAUUGAAGAAUUAUGACUGCUUCACAAAGCACCCUUGAAUAUCUAUUCAUGUUUAUUGUUAUGAUACAGCAUGUAUCAAUACUAUGAAUAAAAACC
ensembl:lncRNA